CUUUGCCUCUCUCUGACAGAAUAUUUAGAUAAACCAACACACUGGCUUCCUUGGUGCUGUGCUGAUCAGUGAUGGUAAUUAGGAGUCUGCAUCUCCUUUGUUCUAAUCCUUUAUUGCUCCAACAAGCACAGAUUCAUUUGUGAACAUCAGUGGUGCCAGAAGGUCAUGCUGUGGUCAUUUUAGCAUAAUGACCAAGCCAGCCGUUUCC